ACUAAAAAAACCCCGCAGGAAACCUGCAGGGUCCUUCUAAUCCAAAAAAAGCUGACUUUUUUUGGGCAGAAGGCAAAGGGAGAGGAGAAACCGGAGGAAGAACUUAUGGGGAAACGUAAGUCUUCUCCGCGG
rfam:Bacillus sp. HMSC76G11 genomic scaffold Scaffold1380, whole genome shotgun sequence.